UACGUAGGUGGCGAGCGUUGUCCGGAUUUACUGGGCGUAAAGAGCGCGCAGGCGGUCGGUCAAGUCGGAUGUGAAAGCCCCCGGCUCAACUGGGGAGGGUCAUUCGAUACUGAUCGACUCGAAGGCAGGAGAGGGAAGCGGAAUUCCCGGUGUAGUGGUGAAAUGCGUAGAUAUCGGGAGGAACACCAGAGGCGAAGGCGGCUUCCUGGCCUGUUCUUGACGCUGAGGCGCGAAAGCCAGGGGAGCAAACGGG
rnacentral:rRNA from 1 species